UGGGGAAUAUUGCGCAAUGGGGGAAACCCUGACGCAGCAACGCCGCGUGGAGGAAGAAGGCCUUCGGGUUGUAAACUCCUGUCAUUUGGGACGAAAAAAAUGACGGUACCAAAUGAGGAAGCCACGGCUAACUACGUGCCAGCAGCCGCGGUAAUACGUAGGUGGCGAGCGUUGUCCGGAAUUAUUGGGCGUAAAGGGCGCGUAGGCGGCCUUGUAAGUCAGAUGUGAAACCCCCGGGCUUAACUUGGGGCAUGCAUUUGAAACUGCAGGGCUUGAGUGCAGGAGAGGUAAGUGGAAUUCCUAGUGUAGCGGUGAAAUGCGUAGAUAUUAGGAGGAACACCAGUGGCGAAGGCGACUUACUGGACUGUAACUGACGCUGAGGCGCGAAAGCGUGGGGAGC
rnacentral:rRNA from 1 species